CAUGAACUUUCUGGUGGUAUGCGUCAACGUGUCAUGAUAGCAAUGGCAUUGAUUUUAAAGCCACAAAUUUUAAUCGCAGAUGAACCAACAACGGCAUUAGAUGCCAGUACACAAAAUCAAUUACUGCAGUUAAUGAAGUCCCUUUAUGAGUACACCGAAACGUCUAUUAUUUUUAUCACUCACGAUUUAGGCGCUGUGUAUCAAUUUUGCGACGAUGUGAUUGUAAUGAAAGAUGGAAGUGUCGUUGAAAGUGGCACGGUUGAAAGUAUUUUUAAAUCGCCACAACAUACCUAUACGAAACGC
rnacentral:sRNA from 1 species